rnacentral:rRNA from 1 species
GCAUGAGACCACAAGAUCGCAUGGUCAAGGGGUCAAAGGAGCAAUCCGGUGAAGGGUGGGCUCGCGUCUGAUUAGCUAGUUGGCGGGGUAACGGCCCACCAAGGUAACGAUCAGUAGCCGACCUGAGAGGGUGAUCGGCCACACUGGGACUGAGACACGGCCCAGACUCCUACGGGAGGCAGCAGUGGGGAAUAUUGGGCAAUGGGCGAAAGCCUGACCCAGCAACGCCGCGUGAGGGAAGAAGGUUUUCGGAUCGUAAACCUCUGUCCUUGGUGAAGAGUAAGAGACGGUAGCCAAGGAGGAAGCCCCGGCUAACUACGUGCCAGCAGCCGCGGUAAUACGUAGGGGGCGAGCGUUGUCCGGAAUGAUUGGGCGUAAAGGGCGCGUAGGCGGCCUGCUAAGUCUGGAGUGAAAUUCCUGCUUUCAAGGUAGGAAGUGCUUUGGAAACUGGCGGGCUGGAGUGCAGGAGAGGUUAGCGGAAUUCCCGGUGUAGCGGUGAAAUGCGUAGAGAUCGGGAGGAACACCAGUGGCGAAGGCGGCUAACUGGACUGUAACUGACGCUGAGGCGCGAAAGUGUGGGGAGCAAACAGGAUUAGAUACCCUGGUAGUCCACACUGUAAACGAUGAAUGCUAGGUGUAGGGGGUAUCGACCCCUUCUGUGCCGGAGUAA